CAGGUCGAGCGGACCGACGGGAGCUUGCUCCCUUAGGUCAGCGGCGGACGGGUGAGUAACACGUGGGUAACCUGCCUGUAAGACUGGGAUAACUCCGGGAAACCGGGGCUAAUACCGGAUGCUUGAUUGAACCGCAUGGUUCAAUCAUAAAAGGUGGCUUUUAGCUACCACUUACAGAUGGACCCGCGGCGCAUUAGCUAGUUGGUGAGGUAACGGCUCACCAAGGCGACGAUGCGUAGCCGACCUGAGAGGGUGAUCGGCCACACUGGGACUGAGACACGGCCCAGACUCCUACGGGAGGCAGCAGUAGGGAAUCUUCCGCAAUGGACGAAAGUCUGACGGAGCAACGCCGCGUGAGUGAUGAAGGUUUUCGGAUCGUAAAACUCUGUUGUUAGGGAAGAACAAGUACCGUUCGAAUAGGGCGGCACCUUGACGGUACCUAACCAGAAAGCCACGGCUAACUACGUGCCAGCAGCCGCGGUAAUACGUAGGUGGCAAGCGUUGUCCGGAAUUAUUGGGCGUAAAGCGCGCGCAGGCGGUUUCUUAAGUCUGAUGUGAAAGCCCCCGGCUCAACCGGGGAGGGUCAUUGGAAACUGGGGAACUUGAGUGCAGAAGAGGAGAGUGGAAUUCCACGUGUAGCGGUGAAAUGCGUAGAGAUGUGGAGGAACACCAGUGGCGAAGGCGACUCUCUGGUCUGUAACUGACGCUGAGGCGCGAAAGCGUGGGGAGCGAACAGGAUUAGAUACCCUGGUAGUCCACGCCGUAAACGAUGAGUGCUAAGUGUUAGAGGGUUUCCGCCCUUUAGUGCUGCAGCAAACGCAUUAAGCACUCCGCCUGGGGAGUACGGUCGCAAGACUGAAACUCAAGGAAUUGACGGGGGCCCGCACAAGCGGUGGAGCAUGUGGAUUAAUUCGAAGCAACGCGAAGAACCUUACCAGGUCUUGACAUCCUCUGACAACCCUA
rnacentral:rRNA from 1 species